rnacentral:rRNA from 1 species
UACGUAGGCAGCGAGCGUUGUUCGGAAUUACUGGGCGUAAAGAGUGUGUAGGCGGUGCUUUAAGUCUGGUGUGAAAUCUCCCGGCUCAACUGGGAGGGUGCGCUAGAGACUGGAGUGCUUGAGUAUGGGAGAGGUAAGCGGAAUUCCUGGUGUAGCGGUGAAAUGCGUAGAUAUCAGGAGGAACACCUGUGGUGUAGACAGCUUACUGGACCAUGACUGACGCUGAGACACGAAAGCGUGGGUAGCAAACAGG